rnacentral:lncRNA from 1 species
UUAAUAGCCUACCUGAUGCGGAGUAUUAACGGCAGAAGGAGGAUGGAGUUUGGGAUGAGACAACCCAAGGAUUUCCUGGAGAAGCCGAGCAGUGACAUAAUAUACUUCAACUCUCACCAGAAACCUUUAGGAGCAUUAUUUUCAGUAAUCUCUACACCCAAUGUAGGCAUAGAACCCAGAAGCGCAAAAUCAAGAGUCACAUACCCUGCCGACUGACCCAGCUGGGCACCCCGAUGUAUAAUCUAUUUUAAAUAAAACCUCACACAGCACAUAUAAUUUGCUAUGUGUGUGUUAAUGAAGUAGACAUGAGAUGUGAAGAAUAUUAAAUACCAAAUUAUGCUAAAUUAAGUAUCAUUGGCCUUUGAAUAUGAUCUAAUAGUUGUAGUCCUAUUUGAAAUACUGCUGCCAAUACUGGUUAGCUAGGUCUGGGGUUCUUAACCUGGAGUCCACAGGGCUCUAAGAGAUUUAAGGGUAGAAUUC